rnacentral:rRNA from 1 species
UACGUAGGGGGCAAGCGUUGUCCGGAAUCAUUGGGCGUAAAGAGCGUGUAGGCGGCUCGGUAAGUCCGCUGUGAAAGUCCAGGGCUCAACCCUGGAAAGCCGGUGGAAACUGUCGAGCUUGAGUCCGGAAGAGGCGAGUGGAAUUCCUGGUGUAGCGGUGAAAUGCGCAGAUAUCAGGAGGAACACCAAGGGCGAAGGCAGCUCGCUGGGACGGUACUGACGCUGAGACGCGAAAGCGUGGGGAGCAAACAGG